rnacentral:lncRNA from 1 species
CCCUGUUCCUGGAGAGAUACCCCUCCUGUAGGUUUUAACUCCAACCCUGUUCCUGGAGAGAUACCCUCCUGUAGGUUUUAACUCCAACCCCUGUUCCUGGAGAGAUACCCUCCUGUAGGUUUUAACUCCAACCCUGUUCCUGGAGAGAUACCCCUCCUGUAGGUUUUAACUCCAACCCUGUUCCUGGAGAACUACCCUCCUGUAGGUUUUAACUCCAACCCUGUUCCUGGAGAGAUACCCUCCUGUAGGUUUUAACUCCAACCCUGUUCCUGGAGAGCUACCCUCCUGUAGGUUUUAACUCCAACCCUGUUCCUGGAGAGAUACCCUCCUGUAGGUUUUAACUCCAACCCUGUUCCUGGAGAUAAACCUCCUGUAGGUUUUAACUCCAACCCUGUUCCUGGAGAGAUACCCCUCCUGUAGGUUUUAACUCCAACCCUGUUCCUGGAGAGAUACCCCUCCUGUAGGUUUUAACUCCAACCCUGUUCCUGGAGAGAUACCCUCCUAUAGGUUUUAACUCCAACCCUGUUCCUGGAGAGAUACCCCUCCUGUAGGUUUUAACUCCAACCCUGUUCCUGGAGAGAUGCCCUCCUGUAGGUUUUAACUCCAACCCUGUUCCUGGAGAGCUACCCUCCUGUAGGUUUUAACUCCAACCCUGUUCCUGGAGAGAUACCCUCCUGUAGGUUUUAACUCCAACCCUGUUCCUGGAGAGAUACCCUC